rnacentral:rRNA from 1 species
CUACGGGCUGCUGCAGUGGGGAAUAUUGCACAAUGGGCGCAAGCCUGAUGCAGCCAUGCCGCGUGUAUGAAGAAGGCCUUCGGGUUGUAAAGUACUUUCAGCGGGGAGGAAGGGAGUAAAGUUAAUACCUUUGCUCAUUGACAUUACCCGCAGAAGAAGCACCGGCUAACUCCGUGCCAGCAGCCGUCGGUAAUACGGAGGGUGCAAGCGUUAAUCGGAAUUACUGGGCGUAAAGCGCACGCAGGCGGUUUGUUAAGUCAGAUGUGAAAUCCCCGGGCUCAACCUGGGAACUGCAUCUGAUGCUGGCAAGCUUGAGUCUCGUAGAGGGGGGUAGAAUUCCAGGUGUAGCGGUGAAAUGCGUAGAGAUCUGGAGGAAUACCGGUGGCGAAGGCGGCCCCCUGGACGAAGACUGACGCUCAGGUGCGAAAGCGUGGGGAGCAAACAGGAUUAGAUACCCCCGUAGUC